rnacentral:rRNA from 1 species
UGCGUAGGCGGCUCUAUAAGUAUGGUGUGAAAUCUCCCGGCUUAACUGGGAGGGUGCGCUAUAGACUGUGGGGCUAGAGGGUGGGAGAGGAAAGUGGAAUUCCUGGUGUAGCGGUGAAAUGCGUAGAUAUCAGGAGGAACACCGGUGGUGUAAACGGCUUUCUGGACCAUUUCUGGCGCUGAGGCACGAAAGCGUGGGUAGCAAACAGGAUUAGAUACCCUGGUAGUCCACGCCCUAAACGAUGCAUAUUUGGUGUGGGCCAUUCAUUUGGUCUGUGCCGGAGCUAACGCGUUAAAUAUGCCGCCUGGGGAGUACAGUCGCAAGGCUGAA